CCUGCCCAGGCCUUUUGUUCCCCCUGCCACGCCAGGGCUGACCACUCCACAGCUCUUCAACCCUAAAUAAUCGGUGCUCGCCUCCCCAGGCGUUCAAACCCCCGCCCCAGGGCUUCCUCAACGUAUUCCCCUUGCUGACCUCAGCAGAAGCAACACUUGCCGCAGUGCGGUACAUAUGCCUCUCCCCCGUCCCGCCGCCUCCGAGGGUGAGCAGGCGUGGGCCCCCGUCCCCAAGCGCCGGACCCACGAGCAGUCUCGCCAACUCGCUCCCUGCCCAGUUCCGGGAGGCGGCCCAGGGGUGCUGCAUUUU
rnacentral:telomerase_RNA from 1 species